GCAAACUUGGUCAUUUAGAGGAAGUAAAAGUCGUAACAAGGUCUCCGUAGGUGAACCUGCGGAGGGAUCAUUACCGAGUGAGGGUUGCCUCCGCGCGCCCGACCUCCCAACCCUUUGUUAAUUAAUAUCCGCGUUGCCUCGGGGGACCGGCCUCGGCCGCCCUCGGUGGACCCAACCUAAACUCUGCAUCUCUGCGUCUGAGUCAUAAAGUAAAUUGUUAAAACUUUCAACAACGGAUCUCUUGGUUCUCGCAUCGAUGAAGAACGCAGC
rnacentral:misc_RNA from 1 species